rnacentral:rRNA from 1 species
GACGAACGCUGGCGGCGUGCCUAAUACAUGCAAGUAGAACGCUGAAGGAGGAGCUUGCUUCUCCGGAUGAGUUGCGAACGGGUGAGUAACGCGUAGGUAACCUGCCUGGUAGCGGGGGAUAACUAUUGGAAACGAUAGCUAAUACCGCAUAAGAGUAGAUGUUGCAUGACAUUUGCUUAAAAGGUGCAAUUGCAUCACUACCAGAUGGACCUGCGUUGUAUUAGCUAGUUGGUGGGGUAACGGCUCACCAAGGCGACGAUACAUAGCCGACCUGAGAGGGUGAUCGGCCACACUGGGACUGAGGCACGGCCCAGACUCCUACGGGAGGCAGCAGUAGGGAAUCUUCGGCAAUGGACGGAAGUCUGACCGAGCAACGCCGCGUGAGUGAAGAAGGUUUUCGGAUCGUAAAGCUCUGUUGUAAGAGAAGAACGAGUGUGAGAGUGGAAAGUUCACACUGUGACGGUAUCUUACCAGAAAGGGACGGCUAACUACGUGCCAGCAGCCGCGGUAAUACGUAGGUCCCGAGCGUUGUCCGGAUUUAUUGGGCGUAAAGCGAGCGCAGGCGGUUAGAUAAGUCUGAAGUUAAAGGCUGUGGCUUAACCAUAGUACGCUUUGGAAACUGUUUAACUUGAGUGCAAGAGGGGAGAGUGGAAUUCCAUGUGUAGCGGUGAAAUGCGUAGAUAUAUGGAGGAACACCGGUGGCGAAAGCGGCUCUCUGGCUUGUAACUGACGCUGAGGCUCGAAAGCGUGGGGAGCAAACAGG